UCGAUCGCUUGCGUGCGUCCGUGGCCUCGAUCGGAUUCUCGUCGGCGCCGCUCACCGAGCCGACCCGGGAACCCGAGCGCCGUCGCCGCCUCCGUCGGAGGGAAGGUAGGGUUUCCUUGAUGCUGGUUGAGUUUGUGAUUGAUUGAUUUGCUCUGGGUCUCUCUGAGCAGAGAACGGGGAUGGAGAGAGAGCUGCGCUCAGAAUUUUCUUGUGGCCCCCUUUUGUUUUUCUCCUCUCUUUUGAUGAGCUUGAUCUUUAGGGAGGUGGGUGCGAGGUGGAUUUGGUUGCUAGCGGUUUGGGCGUAGCAGGGCAAUGGCGGAGGUGAUCGGUCCGAGUCUGUACAGUUGCUGCCAUUGCCGAAACCAUGUGGCGCUCCACGACGAUGUCAUUUCCAAAAGCUUUCAGGGAAGAAACGGUCGAGCUUUUUUGUUCUCCCACGCAAUGAAUGUUAUGGUCGGACCGAAAGAGGACAGGCAGCUCAUGACCGGCCUUCACACGGUGGCUGAUGUAUACUGCUCGGAUUGCCACGACCUUCUCGGGUGGAAGUAUGAAAGGGCAUAUGUAGAAACUCAAAAGUACAAGGAAGGGAAGUUCAUUCUCGAGAAAUCAAAAAUAGUAAAGGAGAACUGGUAGUCCAACUUGUGUUCAUGGUCAUGGAUUUGGUUGGUCUCUGGACACUUCAGUUGCUCAGAUUCUCAACGAUUGUUCAUUCUUGCGAGGAUUCCCAAUUCGGUCGCGGGUCAUUUUGUUGUCUGAAUGAUAAAAGAAGUGCCGAAGAUGUUUGACAUUGUUAUUUAUGCCGGUUGCACCGGGUGAAAUGCGAGGUGGAUUGAGCUACUUCUUUGUAUGUGCGGUUGUGCUGCAUGAUACAAGCGAACGAAAGUCAAGCGAGGGGUUGACGAAGCACACAUUCUAAAGGAGCUUGUCAAAAUGCCUUGAUUACAAAACCAGUAGCAGAUGGACGUGAUCAAUGGGCUUCUCACAGCCGGUUCUUCCGCCGAUUCACGCAUAAUUGCCAUCUUCUCAGCAGUUCACUCCGUCCUCUUUUUCCCGAUUCACGAGAUUGGACUCGGGUGCUCUGUUCUGUGCUUGCCCCUCUAGUUUCGAGUUUCGCAUCUGGUCUCGUCCGACCGUGACGUGGCAUCCCGAGUAACAGGAGAAAUUAGGGUGGCUAGUAUUCUAUUGUUUUGGAGAAAGCUGUAAGUUCAAUGUACCCUCUCGUAUGCUCGAGAAACCUGUGUGAAGAGCGAGUCCCUCGUGCUCGGAAACGUUUCCCUUCAUCUGAAUGAUGAUUGCUACCGUCUCCAUAUUCAAAUGGUGCAUUGAGAAUCCUGUGAAGGAAACAAAAGAGACCAAGACUGCCGAAGGUGGUAUGAACAUAUCCUAGUCUAUGAGCGCAAUAAAAGGACGGUGGUCGGUGGUGGUUGGUGGGUGGCGUUAAGGGGGGCGCUGUCGGAGUUGGCGGUGGAUAUUGUGUUGGUGGGGCUCGGUGCCAAUCGGAAUAUCAGAUGGCUGAUGGUGAUUUUUUUGUUUUAUAUUUGCUUUUUAAAAUUUUGAUUACUCUUAUAAUUAUCCACGAUUUAGGUGGAGGUUGAUGCCUUAGGGUUUUUCUAUGAUUGUGGAAGCAAUCAGUUUUUGUUGGACCUAUUAUUUGGUUGUCUAGCAACAGCAUAGAAUCUAUCACAAUUUACAAA